rnacentral:rRNA from 1 species
CCGCUAAAAGAGGGGUUUGCGUCUGAUUAGCUAGUUGGUAGGGUAACGGCCUACCAAGGCAAUGAUCAGUAGCCGGUCUGAGAGGAUGAACGGCCACACUGGGACUGAGACACGGCCCAGACUCCUACGGGAGGCAGCAGUGGGGAAUCUUCCGCAAUGGGCGAAAGCCUGACGGAGCAACGCCGCGUGAACGAAGAAGGUUUUCGGAUCGUAAAGUUCUGUUCUUAGAGACGAAAGAUACGAUUGUGAAUAAUGAUUGUAAGUGACGGUAACUAAGGAGCAAGCCACGGCUAACUACGUG